rnacentral:tRNA from 1 species
CUCGGGGUUUGUACACACCGCCCGUCAAACCACGAAAGUUGGCAAUACCCAAAGCCGGUGGCCUAACUUCGCAAGAAGAG